rnacentral:rRNA from 1 species
ACGCUCGACACCUACGGGAGGCAGCAGUGAGGAAUAUUGGUCAAUGGGCGCUAGCCUGAACCAGCCAAGUAGCGUGAAGGAUGAAGGCUCUAUGGGUCGUAAACUUCUUUUAUAUAAGAAUAAAGUGCAGUAUGUAUACUGUUUUGUAUGUAUUAUAUGAAUAAGGAUCGGCUAACUCCGUGCUAGCAGCCGCGGUAAUCUGAGCGGGCUGCAAGC